rnacentral:rRNA from 1 species
UACAGAGGGUGCAAGCGUUGCUCGGAAUUAUUGGGCGUAAAGGGUAGGUAGGUGGUCUCGUUUGUCUGAGGUGAAAGCCCCGAGCUUAACUUGGGAAGUGCCUCGGAAACGGCGAGACUGGAGUCCUUGAGAGGGUUGCGGAAUUCCCGGUGUAGCGGUGAAAUGCGUAGAGAUCGGGAGGAAUACCAGAGGCGAAGGCGGCAACCUGGAAAGGCACUGACACUCAACUACGAAAGCGUGGGGAGCAAAC